CGAAUGUGUGAAUGUUGAACGGGUGAAAUCUACAAAGAAAUAAACCACACGGAUAGCCAACUGGGCCGUUGAUCUGCUACAACCAUCCGACGAUGUAAAAUGAAAGCACACGGAUCACCCCAUUGUUGUUCGUCUACAUCUAUGCGUAUAACCCCUCCUUAAACAAAUCUCCUUUUCCAGUACUCUCGAAACAAAACCUAACGGCCGACACCAACACCCCUUACGUUAUCCACCCAUAAUAUUUGCUCUUUUCAUUUCUCCAUCGUCUCUCCCCAUUCAAAAUCUGCAACAUCAGCCGACAUCAAUACCAGUCGGCUCCUCUUCAAACUACCAUUAAGAACCACCAUGAUCUCUUCCACUCCCUUUAUCACAUCGGAGAGCUUCUCUCUCUUCUUCGUUAUUGAUCUUGUCAAAACCCUAGAUCUAAAAACAAAUCCAUCUUAAGAUUUGUUGGUUCGAUUUUAGUUUCUACCAAUUCUGUUAGGUUUAGAUUUCUAUUUAAUUUAACAUUUUAUUUUUUUAUACUAAUUUGUGUUCUUACAUGUAUGAUUCCUAAAAGUUGUAUUUAAGUUCUUGCAGAUUCAUUUUUUACUUAUUUGUCUUCAUUUGUGUUCUUACAUGUACCACAGUCGCUGCCUUGCUCCAACACAGUUACAGUUGCUCAUAUCUAUGCACCAACACACAUGAAUUAAGUUUCCUAUAUCGUGACACAAAAGCAAGGUUAUUAGAUCCAGUUAUUGUUUGUCUUACCUGGUUAGAAGUUCCUUAUUUUAUUGAGUUUUUAUGUAUGUUUUUUGUUUGUUCUCUUAUGGAUUUCUACUCUAACCUAACCCUCUUGCCCAUGUCUCUGUAUUCUACUGAAGAGUGCAAGGAAUAUAUGGAAGAAAGUAGACACAGAUUAGGCAAUGACUUUUAAACAUUGAAUUCUUUACAAAUAUGUUUGUUUCUUCUUCGAUUAUGCUAUUUUUCAAGCAUUUAAACCAUGUUUGCAUUAUUUAUGUCUCCAUCUUUGUACAUGGGUUUAAUACAUGUAUCUAAUAGGGCUCAUGUUUUUGUUUUCAGAUUUAGCUGACUUCAUCACCCUCUGUUCCUAGAUAUGUUCUUGGACUUGAUUUUUUUUUUUUUUUUUUGUAUAUUUUGUUUUCAUGUAUUAAUAAAAAGCUAUCUAUACAUGAAUAAAAAAUGAAAUCUUCAAUGUUUGGCCAUUUUUUGUUUUGGUGUAUGGGGUUUAUGGAUUUUUCGUUUUUUUACAUCUUGGUAUAAAAGUAAUCUAUGUAUAAGAAUUGAAAAAAAUUGAUCAUGAAGUUUUUAGCUUCUUGUGGAGAGAUCAUCUAUACUUUUCCAAUGAAAGUAUAUUGCAUCUCCUUGAGCAUGAGUGAGUGUUUUAAUUAAAAUGUUUAUGAAGUGUUUUGGAUUGUCUUAGUUUAGUCAGGAAACAGUAGACAAAAUAAAUAAUUUUAAAGUCAUUAGUUUUAUUUUCUUUCAAUCUCCUAGAAACGAAAGCAAUGAUUUAAUUCUUUUAUAAUUUACAAAAUAGUUACGUUGUGAUUUUAAUUUGUAUGCUUCGAGCUGUUUUUGGUUGUUUGUGUGCGAUUUUAUAGUGAAUUAGUUUCAUAUUUUUUGUAAAACGAAAUUUUACCCAAACAAACCAAAGCUUGAUAGGGGAUAGAAAGAAAAAGCAUUAAAGAAAAAAAACAACAAAUAAGCUUUGAUUAUGACCAUUCAAGCGGUAAAAGCUGCUAAUUUAGUAGUUGAAUUAAAAACUUGGAUUCAACUUUCCACUAAAAUAGAGAAAGUAUUUUAAAUUUAUAUUAUAGUAUUAAUCAUUUUUAUUUGAAUUAACAUUUACAUCUAAAUAUAAAACAUUAGAUUUGUAUUUUUAAUAUCUUUGAAAUUAUUUAUGAAAAAUAUAUUUUGAAAUUCUCAUAUAAGUCUUAGGAUUUAAAAUAAUAUAUCAUGGACAAAUACAAAGUACUAUAAGUUAUAUAUUAAAUUGUAUUUAUGAUAUAUUUGUAUAUGUAUUUUGUUAUUGAUUUGAUAGUUAGCUUUAAUAAUUUUUUUAGAAUUACAAAUAAGAUUGAUUUCACUAUAUUAUAUAAAGGACAACACAGAAAAGACUUCUAUGUAAUUAUCAUAACUAUGACUUUUUAUAGGAUUUAAAAUGGUUUUUUAUUUAAUUUUAGUUUUAUUUGAAACUAGAAUCUUUCAUUAUGUUCUAUUUCAAAAUGGUCACUAUUUUAUUAAAUAUAUUUUAAAUUUAAGACUUUAAAUAAUAACCAUAAAUAAUGGUAUAUAUUAAACACAUCCUAUUGUCAUCACCGGUUCACAACAACAUUUAAAGUUCUAUUCAUUGUUUUGAUAACUUUAGCUUUAACUUAUUUUCCACUUUAUCAAAUUAUUAAAAUAUAAUUUAUUGUUCAAACUUUGGUUUUAUAUGUUUUCUUAUAUAUAUUACUUUAAUUCAUAUUCUCAAAAUUUUAUUAUCUUUAAUAUAUUAUAUUUAAUAACAAAUCUUUUGAAAAUGUUUAAAUUAUAUCGGAUGUCACUCUCUGCUUCACCAAACCACCGUUCGAAAUGGUUUGAGUUUUAUUAUAAAAAUGGAUGAUGUUCUUGAAAAUUAAAUUGUAAUCUUUUUUUAUAUUUAUUCUUUUUGAUGUAAUUCAAAUUUAAAUAUAUUUGAUUUUCAAUAAUGAUAAAACAAAAUUUGACUUUCUCUAUUAUUAGAAAAGUUUUCUUUUAAAAAUCAAAUUAUUAAUAUAGUUAUAAAUAUGAAUUAUUAAUAGUCCUUUAUUGAGUUUAAUUGUUUUAGUGCAAUAUGAAUUAUUAUAAAUAUAUUAUUUAUACAAACACUUUUAUUUAAAUGUUUAUAUAAAUCAUUAUAAUAAGUCUUAUUAAUGCAAAUAUAAAAAAAUGAAUUUUAUAGUACCGGAAACAAAACCCAAAAGAAUGACAAAAAGAAGAAAAAACGAUAUAUAAUAUAAUACUUAACUUUUUACAUGUUCAUGUAAUGUAGUCUCGCAAAAAAGUUAUCAUUUUUAUUUUAAACGUAGUUCAAUAUUUUUGUAAUUAAUAUAACAAAUUUUUACCUUUUCAAUUCAAAAUGGAAACUUAUCAUCAUCUGAACAAAUGAAACUAAUCGCUGUUAGUUGUCAGAUAAAAUGUAAUAGAUGGAAAUUACUAUUUGUUGUCCGUCUAAAGACAACUGAUCUCCGAAAGGAACAAAUCGCCAAAAUGAAACAAAUCGAAACGAAAGAAUUUAACGACCACCGAAAUGACACUAACUUUCGUUUGGAAACUAAUCGCUCGAAUGAAAGAAAUCGUCGCCGCCGAUCGCGCGGGUACGCGACUAGNUGUUUAGGUUAUUCUAUUCAAAGUAAUUACUGUGUUAUUGCAUACAUAAAUGUGGACCAAUCAAUUUUACUUAUUUUAAGAAAGUGAUUAAUGUGUAUUAUUGAAUUAAAUAUAAUUGAAAAAUAUCAUCUAAAUUAAUUACAAGGGUAUUUUAGUCAAUCAAUAUAGAUUUAAUAAAGGAAAAUUACAUAUUUUAAGGAAUCAUAGAUUCUAUUAAUUUUAAAAAUCCGAUUUUACGAAUUAUAAUUCUUUUUAUUCGGAUAUUCUGACAUAAUAUGUUUAUGAGUAUAUUCAAAAAUAAAAAUAUUCUUGAAACAUAAAUAAUAAAAAUAUUGUGGAACCUAUUUCUUGAUCAUGAAUUUAAAAACUUCUUGUAGAAUAACAAAUUUCUGAACAAUCAAUUGAAGAAUAAAAACAGAAAAUACAUUAUUUCUUAUAGAAUACAGGUAACAAUUGUUAAAAAUUAUAUUUAUUGUUAAAAAUAAAAAUAAAAAACUUUCAAAACGGGAAAGAAAACAUCAAAAUCUAACAAUGACACUAAUAUAUUCUAAAAGAAUAAUGUUGCUUAGAAUCAAUUUCAAUUUUGUGGUCCGUUCUUCAAGUAUCAACUUCUGUGAAAACAAAACCAAAUUGUAGUUAUUAGCAAAUGAAAAAUAAAAAACUAAAUUUCUUUGGAAAAAUAUGUGGACUUGGAAUUGCACCAAAACCAAUAACUAAGAACUGUAGAACAUGCAUAAAUCAGUGAGAAAAUAUCCAUACUCCAUUCAUUAGAAUUCAUGAUUCCAUUCCAACAUAAUUGGAAUUCGUGAUUCCAUUCCUAUAGAAUUGGAAUCUCACCAAUAUCAUCCAUUGAAUCAUCUAUAGAAACAAAUUGAUUUUUAUCAUAUAAGAAGAAGUAAAUUUGAUAUGAAAAUAGUGACAAACUACCUUCACUUUGUACUUUACAUAUAAGAAGAAGGUCAUUGAUACAACCUCUUUAAUUUUUCAUGAACCUGGUCCGCCAUCAGAAGAGAAGACCAACGAUCAGAGUAAGGAUAAGGGCCGACUCCUUCACAUGGAAGAGAAUCAGCUGCAGCAGUAGCAUCCGACGACAAACUACCUUCACUUUCAAGCUCCGUCACUGUUUGCAGAUAUUGUCACCAUGCACCCCAAAACAAUAGAAAGCAGCACUUCUCAAUCUCCACGACAUGAAAACAAUAGGCAUGUUUCAAAUCUAAGAAAGAAGCACUUCUCAUCUUCACGAUAUAUACGAAAACAAUAUAGGCAUGUUCCAAAUCUCCAAAGAGCGAGUUAAUUUAUAACUACUAAAUACAUAAUAAAAUUUGUAUAGAUAGAUAAACGACAAAAAUAGUGUUUAUUGGUUUUACAUAAUUCGAUAUAAGAAUCAUAAUUUAGGCAGAAUUUCGUAUAUGCCCUUGCUAAACAACUAAAUAUCAUAUUUAUCCAGCCUAAAUUUUAAAUAUCGUAUUUGCCCUUCUUAAUGUUUUAUAAUAUCAUAUAUACCCAAAUAUAUUUUUUUGUUAAUUUUUAUUGAUUUAUAAUCCUUUUUUGCCAUUUUAAAAUCACUAAAACUAAAAACAACAAUCAAAUGGACAAUAUUGCUCUUCCUUUACAAAUCACACGUUUAAUUCAUUGGCUCUCAAAUUCAAACAAAUUUAAUUCAUGUAAUUCCUCACGAUUGCAGUUCUAAAUUGCAAUACAAUAAUCAAACUCCAAUGCAACGUGCCACAUACCAAAUAUAGGACAAAUAAGAAAGCAUGAUCAUGUAAUCCUUUUGAAUAAUAAACACUCACCUGAAGUGUGAAUAAAAAUAUAAUCCUUUUGAAAAAUGUUCACCUUCUUUGUCCAUUUCCGAACUUGUUCAAAAGAUUCCUUAGCCUCAAACAUUUGUAGUUGAUUUUCAUCAAAAUCUGCCAGCUUUCUAAAGAAAAAGCUAUUGAAGAAAUGGAUACUUUCAUCAGCAGGUUUGAUCUUCUUCAGGUAAAAAAAACUAAAGCAAUAAAACUCAGUUUGAUGUUAAAGUCAACAAUGGUAUCAGUGGUAAACUUCUUUAGAUGCAACAGCUGAAAGUCUCUUUUAGAUAUAGAAAUAGAAUCAUAAAACUCUCUAGUCAAAACUCCAUUUAAAAUUAAGCUUUUCACUAACUUUUGGAGGAAAAUCAUAUGUCGAACAGUGUGAGUCGGAGACCAUGGAAAAUGGUCGGAAUUGGAAUCCAAUUCCACCCUAAAACCCAUGGAGUUCAAUUCACAUAUCCUAUAUUCUAAUUUAGUCCACUUGCAGCUCGUUGAGAAAUUUUUUGAAGGCAUGGUUCUUUCGAUUUCAAGCAUGUAUAUCUUUGAACAAAAUCAUAAUGAAAUAAACUAGUGAUUAAAUUUAGGGAUAGUAUACACCAGAGAGACAUGAAAGAAGUUGAACAAUUGAAUCUAUAUUCAUGUUAAUUCAUCUUGAUCGCAACUAUAAAAGAAUUUGAAAAAUUGAAACUAGGAACCCUAAAAACGGAAUUCGCAUUCUAGAUGAUUGAAUAUUCUGCUUUCUGAUGAAUACCUGAAUCUCGGAUAUAAUAUGCGGCUUCGAAUAAAAACUGGUAAUCGAUCGAUGUAGCAUACGACGUUGAUCGGCGUUGAACAUAGGCGAAUAAGUAUAUGCAAUCGGAAGGAAGAAAAGGAUGCAAAAAACGUGUUGUAUUGAAAUUUAGACUAAGGGCAUUAUUGUCAAUUUACAAUGUUUUUCUUAAUUAUAGUGAUUUUAGAUUAUAAAAAACAAUUAUAAAUCAAUAAAUUUAACAAAAAAAAUAGAUUUGGGUAUAUAUGAUAUUAAAAUACAUUAAGAAGGACAAAUACGAUAUUUAGAAUUUAGGCUGGGUAAAUAUGAUAUUUAGUUGUUUAGCAAGAGCAUAUAUGAAAUUCUGUCCAUAAUUUAUGAAGAAAAUGUCUGAAUUAAAAAAUACUCUCAAAAGAGCGAGUUAAUUUAUAACUAUUAAAUACAUAAUAAACUUUGUAUAGAUAGAUAAACAAUAAAAAUAGUUUUUAUUGGUUUUACAUAAUUCGAGAACAAAAGCAUUUUGAGACUGGAUAUAAGAAUCAUAAUUUGUGAAGAAAAUGUCUGAAUUAAAAAAAUGCUAAGCGCAUUGUGGCUAAAGUUGUAAUUUUGUCUAACAAAAUUGAGAUAUAUAGACAUUAACCUGGGUCCAUUAAGUUUUUCUAAUCAUUAUACUGAACAUUAUUUCUCAUAUAUAUUAAUGCAUGAGAAUUGAGAAGUUUAAUGAAAUUAUGAAAUUAUGAAAUUUAGCGAUCUCUCUAUAUCUCUCUCUCUCUCUCUCUCUCUCUCUCUAUAUAUAUAUAUANNNNNNNNNNNNNNNNNNNNNNNNNNNNNNNAUAUAUUUAUUAUGUUAUAAGUCUAACAAAAUAAAUAAACCAGUUAUCAAAAGUCAAAAUCAAUUUUAGUUAAUUAACCGGUUAUCUUAUUUGAUUAUAAGCACUUACAGCAUACAAUAAUGGAAACUGAUUAAAAAUAUAUUUCUUUUAUGUGGAAUUUGGUAUUUUUAUUAGUUAAUGUAAAUUUAUUCUACUUUUAUCCUAGGAUACCUUCUUGCUGGUCAACCUGCAUCUUUGUGCCCCCAAAGAGUGCAUGAGUGUCCAUGAAUUCACAAGACAACUCCAAUGAGUACUUAUGUUGGCUAUUCAACACUUCAAAUUUGACUUCCCCACCAUUUCUUACCUUUUCUAUAUCCACUUCUAUAUAGAUUUGAUAUCUAUAUUCCAAACAUACAUAUCAAAUCACUCUAGGUUUGAUCCACUUCAAUUCUGUCACAAAAAGUACCACUCUCUUCUGUUUCUUCUCUCAUUAAUUGAUUCAUUCUCAGCUCCAAGUUCUCCAGCCCCAUCAUGCAUGUUAUUUCUUCGUCCCUCGUUGUACGCUCUAAUUUACUGCUGAUAAUAAGUUAUUGAUCUCCUUGCGUUUCUUAUUGUCAUGUGCAUGUUUUAUUUAAGCACUUAAUUCAUUUGUCCAGUUUAGAUAACCAUAAUCCCCAUGCUAAGAAGUUGUGUUUAGUUUGAUAAUCGAAAAUAUAUUGUUGAGAGCUAUGCAUAUGCUAGUGUGCAAACUACUUGAAAACUGCUCAUUUCGCGACUUCUAUUUGUAGGUAAUGCGUUUAUAUGAUUUUCCACUAAUGUAGAGCCAGACACCUUGACGUCUGUAUUAACGACAGCCGUCUGUCGCUAAUGUCUAUUGAGUUUUCCCACCCGGCCACACACUCAUUAGAGACCCAUACAUGCUCAGCGUCUACUGUUUAUUGACGCCAAUUAUGGUCGCUAAUGCACAAGCUCUGCGAGUAAUCCACGUCUUGCUUUCUUGUAUGAACGCUACUUGAAAUGCUCAGUAGCCGCGUCCUCAUUGUCAUCAUAUUCUCCUACAAAUCUUAUCACUUAUUAUAAUACAUGCAUGCCAAAAUGUAAACUACUUGAAUAUUAGCAAUGGCAAUAGUCCUCACUAAUGCCGACUUAAUGUCCAACAGGCACUCUCACGAUGAUCAGGCAAGAGUCAAGAUCCCGCUUGAGUAUAUAUCUUGGAAUUAGACGUACCUAUGAGUGUUGUCGUUCAUCCGAAGCUUUUUCAAGCUUACGAUGGUUACGACUGAUAUUAAUAUCUAUCUCUGAGUUGCCACUCUUCUUUAGCGACAUUCUUCCUGUUGCAAAUGCCCCGAAAAUGAUUUGCCUCGCAUCAGGGGUGUUUCCGUGCUCUUUAUUACUUCAACCACAACCUUAUCACUGAAAAUUCCUACUACGCCUACUCAUGCUCAUGUACACAAUUAUAUUGAGAACUUAAUUCUCAUUUGAUCCCUGUAGCGUCACUAAUGCCUAAUUUAGCAUCGGAACUCAUAUGUUGCCAAAAAUAUAUUGAUGAUGUGUUUGGACGUUUUGUAACAUUCUUAGUCGUAUUAUGAUUAAAAGCUUGAAAUUGGUAACCAUUUUAACCGACAUCGAGAAACUGGCCAGGCGGAAAAGUUAAGGUAUUUUCUAAGCAUUUUAUAUAUCUUUUUUUAGAUUUUUCCAACUUAUUAAUUCUAUUAAUAGCUAGAACGAUUAUAUGGUUCAGUAUUGAUUUCUGGUUUAUUAACAUGAUAAUUUUAGGACAUCCAUAUAACAUCAUUUUUACCUCAAACUUUUGUUAAUCACUGGAUUUAACUAUUUAUAGUUCUAUUAAAAAACGAUAACCACAAUAUCCUAGUCUCAUGCAUACAUAUAGAAUAUGAGAGAUGUAGGAAGCUAUUCCUGUAUAAGACCAUGCGCAAAAGAAACCAAAAAAAAAAUGGAUGAUAAGUUUUCCUAUAAGUCUCUUGGCUGUUUUAAAAUUUUGAUUCAAUUCUAUUACACGAAUUACAUAUAUUAUACGUGUGUAAUUGGUUUUAUUACAGGUUAGACAUCGAUUAUAAGUUUUCCUAUAACUCCUUUGUUUUUAAUAACUACAUAUUGAUAUUUAUGGGAAAAGCAUUUUUUUCGUUGCAUUUCUACACUGAAUACAAAAUUCAAAUAGUAAAAGACAUUCCAUUAUUACUUUCAGAAGAUUACUUUUAGGACAAGGCAAUGUCAAAAUUCUGAAAAAGAAAUUGAUAAUUUCGCCAUCCUUCAAAGGAAAGUUCUGCUGAUUGAUUGUUGGCAUAAUCAUCAUACUCUCUCUCUCUCUCUCUCUCUCUCUCUCUCUCUCUCUCUCUCUCACACACACACACACGCACACAUCAAACCCUAUGUAUCCGUCUUUCCGUAGAUGCAAACUUUAGCUCUAAGCAUACUGCAUUUCCUUUUUGAGUACCCUAAAAAAGCUGAAUACAUAUUUGUAAACCACUAAACAUAUUUCUAAAUGUAGAAACCCUAGCUACAUACGCAUGCAUGUUUGUAGCAGUAUAUGUAUCUAUGUAUGCACAUUUCUUCUCCUUUUCCCAUGUGUUGUCUCUUACACUAGAUAUUUGUUGUUGACUCAUGACACAUCUUUUUGAUAACUUCUUGGUUAAUACGUGAGGGUUGGUUGUAUUUCUUGCAUCGUAUAGAAGACCCUUUUAGCCAAAGAGAGUUUGCAUGAUCGUUGUUAUAUAAAUGGAGCACGCACUGAGCAAAAACUGAAAAAUCUACUGUAGUUUUCCAUCGAGUGCUUCUCAACAAUAUGAUGAAUGAUAUAUGAUACUCUAAAGCUUGAAUAAAGGAAAUGUGAAAAACAUAAAACAGAGCAUGCAUGCGUCUGUCAGAUCAUAAGCAACUUGAUAGAGCCCAUUACAUUUAUAACAAAUGAUGCUUUUAUCCCAAGUAAUAAUUAUAAGACACACAACAAUUAAGACGACCCCCAUGCCUAAAAUAUACUAUUCAUCAAACAGUCCCUUGAGUUUUAGUUAUGAUAUCAUUAACUUAAUUGACACUAAUUAAUUAGGGGAAUAUUGUCUUACCAGGUAUAAAUGUUAAUAACGUUACAUGUAUAUAUAGCACUUUAUAUCUUUAUUAUUUACAUAAACAAUUCAAAUUUGCUUCUAUAUUUGCAAAUUAAUAACUUGGAGAAGAACGAUCUUUUAAUUUCUUCAUUUCCACAGAUCUAUGUGACAACUGGAGAUAGAAUUUGAUGCAUCAUCUUCUGGCACGCUCAACAGUUCGUGUUCUUGCUUGUUCAGAUGUGUGAUGAGCUCAGAAUUUGAUUCUUCAUGAUCAUUGUGUGAAUGGAAGAUGGGAGUACUGUUCACUUUCACAUUCGAGUAGUUAUUUUCCUUGCUUGAAACAUCACCUUGGCUAAGCAACUGUGAUGCGACAAACUUGUCAAGAACUCGCCAAUCUGUAACUGAAUUGCUUACAUUUUGAUCUUGAUUAUCAUGAAUAUUGUUGUUGUUGUUGUUGUUGUUGUUUUUAUCUUGUGUGAGUGAGGAUGAGUGAUAGUUGAUACUUCCAGCCUGGUUUAUGUGAACACCAUACAUGGGCAUGGAAGAAUUACAGGUGGGGAGCAGUUUUGGACUCUCUAAUAGAGGGAGUUGGAGGAAGUGAUCAGGGGUAAUCUGGUAAUUUUGAAGCUGAUCUAGUUCUUUCUUGCAAGAACCAUAAGGGUAUUGGUAAUUAUGGUUAAGCAUGUUCGAUUGAGAGUUGUUUUGAUUUGGCGAAUCAAUUUCUGGCAUUAACGAGACUUGAUGAUCAUCAUACCAAAUUGGCGAUUCAUGUUCACUUGCUCUCCUCAUUGUCGGUAAUCUUUUCUUGAACACCCUACAUACCACCCAUCCUUCUUCCUGAUUUCGUGAUCAAGAGAAGUGAAACAAAGUUAAUUGAAAGAAUAAAGAACUCCGAUCCAUUGGUGAUAUGAAGAAAAUUCAAUUUGUAUUUUUUGUUUUUGAAAUAGAGAAAGUUAGUUCACCUGAGUUGUGGUUGCAUUUUCAUCAGUUUCAAGGCGAUAUUCAUGCAUUAUCCAGUCUGAUUUUUGUCCAUUGGGAGCACGACCUUUAUAAAAGACUAAUGUCUUUCUCAUCCCAACCAAAUCUUGCUUCGAGUAAAUUGCCUUAUCCCUUCCUGUAGCUUUCCAGAAUCCAGCUGUUGUGGCUCUAUUCGUGCGAGUUCCAGUUGGAUAUUUCUUAUCUUUAUGACUAAAAAAAUACCAUUCGUUUUGUUCUUCGGUGCCUAAGCUGCACAGCUCUAUAUUUAAACUUGAAAAUUAGCAUUAUGUAUGUAGCUAGAAUAUAUACAUUAACAUAUGGUUGUUAAAAAUUAUUUGAAUCUAAAGAAUGAGUGUUUAUACUCAUUUAAAUAUGUCUACCUUGAAGAUCCCAUGGCUCGAUUUUGUAAAGAUCGAUAUCUCUAAUGACAUCUAGAUCGAUCCUUCUUGAGUUGAUCUUUUUCCUAAGGUAGUAAUCAACAAGUUCUUCAUCGGUUGGAUGGAACCGAAAACCAGGAGGUACAUGUGAAAAAGUGUUCAUAUCUCCUCGAUCUUAUAGAAAUUAGAACCUGCAUGCAUGCAAUCCAAUUUGAUUUGAUCGAUCAAUUUAGUUUUCGAAAAAAAAAUAAUACUGUACAUAAAAGAUAUUGUAUUUGAUCUGAUCAGUAUAAUAAUAUUUCUUCAAUUUAGUUUUUGGUUCAAGUCUAGUACUGAAAUUGAACCAUUUGCAGGCUCCGCUAAUUAAUGCGAUCUAUUUUAUUUUGUAUGAUCAGCAAUUUGUUAAAUGUAAAUAUGGUUAACUAAAUACAGCAAAUAUAUAACGCAUUACUAACAAAAGUAAGUUCUGCAUUGUAUGGUGUAACUUACAACUAUGCUUUUUUGAUCAGUUAAUGUAAAUUUUAUAAGAAAGAACAAGAAGAAACCCCGAGAGAAGAAGGGAAGCGAUUGUUUUUCGAAGAUAUAAGAAUCAACAUGUUGGUAGAUGCGAGUAAUGAUGAGAAUUUUCUAGAACUUCAGAAAAAGUAGAUCUCUCAGUACUCCAUAUUUGAUCCAAUGCUUGUAUUUGAAGGGACAUGAAGUUUAACAUCCGAACUAUAUGUACAUGAAAAAACUAAUUAAAGCUGGUGGGAUAUUUCAUGACUCAUGAAAAUUCAAGAUCGAUCCCUAGCUACAAAAGUCCAAAGGUCCUGGAUAUGAUGAUCAGGGAUGAAAUCUCUUUCUUUAAAAUUACAAUGUUAAUCAAGAAUGAAAGCCUUAGUUUCUGCUGCAAUCUAAUUUCUCCCACUCUCUCUCUCUCUCUCUCUCUCUCUCUCUCUCUCUCUCUCUCUCUCUCUCUCUCUCUCUCAUGAAAGCAAAUAACAAUGCUAACUCUAUAACAUCCUUAAAUAUAGAAACAAGACAUGUAAUAAGAGAAGAAUAGAAGGGGAAUUCGUAUUUUGAAGUGAAAAUAUAAAUAUUUAAGAAAAGAAAUACAUGCAUUAUAUGUACUUUGAUGUUAAAGAUUAUACAUGCUUAAGAAUUUUUUUGAUCAAAACAAGGCAACGUUACUCUAAAUAUAGUUCCCGAAAUUUAAGAUGAAGAUAUCUUAGACCAUUUGAAUCAAUUAUGUUACAUCGUGUUAUAUAUGCUUAAGAACAAAGUGCAAAAGAGAAAAUAUUUAAACUUCAAGUCUAUAACAUACUUAACUAAAAAACCGGCCGAUUCAUUUGAGUCUUUCAGUCUACAUAGAAAAAUUUUAUGUGGCAUAUCGAUCAUCCAUGAUGAGUUAUUGUUCAUGAUAACAAACACCUUAAUCCAGGAAAUAUAACAUACUUCGAAAAGAACAAGAAAAGUGAAGUAAUGUUAGAAGGUAUAUUGAGACUUGGAACUGUGAUAAUCGGGUAUUGUAUGUGAUAAAGGACGCAGAUUUUCCCCACAACAAACAUGCAGAUAUAUCUAUAUCCAAUAUCCAAUUAUUGAAGGAGACGGAGUGUUUUUUUUAAUGAUCACAGAAAUACUGCAAGCUUAAUUGAUCCAUCCUCGGUUAUAAUAAAGAAAAAGAUGGAGGAUAGAGCAUGCGAAUCGAUCCAUUGUGGUGAAAUUCAAUUGGAGAGGUAAUAAUUAAUCAAAACUCAUAAUUCUAGCAGACACACGCACAAAGGUGGCACUAAUUUGUGUUGACAUACUUUUUCGCACUGUAGUAUAUAUAAUUUCUUGUUCAUAUACACAAUGAGCAUGCUGUAAGAUCAAUCAUUGUUCUAGUAAUAUAUCAUAAAAUAAUUCAAAAAAACUUAUUUUGAAAGACCCUUAAUGAAGCGAGUCCAUACCGAUUGUUCUUGAUAAGUUAUUCAAGAAUGAAAGCUUCUAGAGAGAGAUAUCGAUAGCAAUAGAGAUCUGAUGUCCGUUUCAUGAAGAUUGAUGAAGAAUUGAAUUAGUAAUUAUGGUUUCGAUGAAUUGAAGUAGGGAAGCUCCACACAUGCAGGAACAAACUGGGGACGAAUUAAAGACGGAAGACAAGACGAUUAAGGUUGUCUGAUCUUGGGAAUUGAAGCCGAUGUGAAGCAUUUGAUUCAAGCGGAAGAAGCUAAAAAGGGAAAGAUGAAAAGGGUCCAAUGGGAAAAUGCCAUAGAAAUAGGGUUAUAUAGGACAAAACAAACAAGAACAACAUCAAGAGACAAGAGAGAGAAACAAAACCCUAAUGAUGAGAGAUGAUGGCUUAUGGGUAAGUAAAGGCCAAGAGAGAGCUAGAGGGACAGAGAGUGGGAAAGAGAGAGCUAGAGAGAGAAAGAGUGGGGAGAGAGAGAGAGAGAGAGAGAGAGAGAGAGAGAGAGAGAGAGAGAGAGAGAGAGAGAGUUGGGUGAUUGUUAUUUCAAAAAAGUGUAAGUUGUCUUUGUCUCAGGGUCGGGAUAGGGCUAAAUUGGUGGGGAAGAUUUUUGCGGGUAAAUUUAUAUGCCACCCACCCGCUACUGACGAAGACCCUAACUGUGUGUUUUGCUUAUUUUCACUUCUCAUUUGGUUUUUUUCUCAAUUAUUUUUCGCUAAAUAUCUAAUUAACGUUUGAUCAACAGCUUCAAAUUAAAUAAUUCAUUUCAUAACAUUUUGUUAAUGUAAAGCAAAGGUAUCAAGCUUAUUAUAAUGUUAGAAUGUAAACUAAUCCUCUUUUAAUGUUUUUUUUUUUUACUUUUUCAGUUUCAUAUGUUUAUUUUUUAAUUUAUCCCAAAAUAAUAACAUAUUUUUAAAAAUAAAUAUAUUUUUUAUUUAAAUACAUUCAAUAUUAGUUUACCUAUCAUGAAAUAAAAUGCAACAAAAGGAUAAAACUGUCAUUUAAUUAAAUAAAAUUAAUGGUACUUAAUGUCUUUUUUAAUUUGUGUGUUUUUUGUCUGUGGACAAUAAUUUUGAUACGAAGGGAGUAAAAAGAACAUAAACUUUGAUAUAUUAAUGGAAAAUGUUGCUUCAUUUUAUUCAAAAUCUAGCUAGAUGAGUUUAUGAUUAUAUCGAUGGAUAUUUUUUUGUCUUUUUUUGAACAAUCAAGAAAUAUAUUAACAAAAAUGAGCUAACAAAUAGUUAGGAAUAAAGAAAUGACUCGGAUUCGGCAAAUGUAUUACAACUUCAAUCAAAUUUAUUUUUUCUCAUUAAGUUUUCCAAUGAAAAUACAACCCAUGAACAUCAUCCACCAAGAGCUUAUGAGACUAUGUAUGAUUCUUAAAGACCUUGGAGUUAUUUUGCUUCCAAAUCACCUAAUGAAAAACUUAUAGACUAUACAACUUCAAUAAUUAGACCUCAGGUGGGUAAAGAGUCUACCUGUAGCAGCUACAGGUAGAAAGAAAUCGAUAUCUUCGAACUUCUUGGGCAAAGACUUCCACAAAAAUGGUGACAAUAAUCCAUAACUUCCUGGUUGAAUCAUAGCACAAUCGAAACAACUCAGUUUCGACGAAUGGAUUAUUUGUGGCGUAAGUGUAGCUAAACCUACUGCUCAAGGGUUUAAAAGUUUCUUUGAAAAGACUAUUAUUAAUCAAAAUGAAAAUAACUAUUUGAUGGAUUUUGAGCAUUACAACAUCCUAUGUGAUCAUGCAACCCUAAUUGCUUUGGAUCUAAGUUUUUCUCUAUUGAACAUGCAAAUACAAAGUCCAAUGCAAUAACCCUAGAUCUAGCAGAUACAAUUCGAAAUUAACAUAUGAUAUUAGGGUUAUGAAGUUAACUUGCUUGUUAUAUAGUAAUAACAAAUAUAAUCCAUGCUUGAUCUUGACUUUGAAAGCCUAGUUCCCCAAGUGUUGCACCUCUAAUGGAGUCACAAACACCCAAUGUAAAGAAUAACUUAGGAGAGAGGUGAAAAUCGGCUACUCUAGGGUUUCAUAAAGCUUAGGCCGAAUAUCCCAUAGUUGACGGUUCCUUAUAUAGAUGUGUGGGCUGCUAGGGUUUCUGGAGGAAACCCUAACUCCUGCUUAAGGCAUAAGCAACCCAUGGACCUCCACUUUAGAGCCCUUGGACGAAAUCUAUAGGGCUUCCCUAUAGAAUUUCUUCCACUCUACUCUAUGGAGUCCAUCAGCCUAGUUUUGCAACUGUCAGUGAUUUGCAAAACCAGUCCCUCCAUUAUUAAUCAGUUUAUUUAAUCCCAAAAUUAAUAUCAAAUUAAUUUCCGAUUAAUUACUAAUUAAUAAUAUGAUUUCCAAAUAAUAUAUUAAUCUUAUAAUAUAUUAAUAAAAUCAUUCUGAGUACCAAUUUAUUAUCCAUAUAAUAAAUCAUACUCUCUCUCUCUCUCUCUCUCUCUCUCUCUCUCUCUUUCUCCACUGGUCAUCCUAUCAAGUUGCAUGAGUGAAGGCAACCCAAAAGGACCAUGCUCAUAAUCAAAUCAAGUAUAUACCAAAUAUAGUUAUGGCUUAAACACAUAAUCAAACACUAUCGACAUUUUGUUGGGGAUAAAGAUAAGGAUUUGAAAUGGAAGACAAGAUAGACCAAAUUUAAAUCUUUUAUUUGUAUAUGAUAAUACGUUAGCCAACUUCUGAAUCAAUAUAUUGACUUAUAUAUACAAGACCAGAAACAAUUGCGUAUAUCCCAACCAUCACACCGUUUCAUGAGCCAAUAUAAUGGUUCAUAUGUAACUGCAUUUUUAACAGAACUAACAUAAAAUACUAGCAAUAACUAACAUAUUUAACAGACAUUAACAUACCAACUAACAAUCUAGGUUACUUUUCCAUAUUCCCCCUUAACCUAGAUUACCAGAAGCAUUCAACAUCAUUCCUGACUUUUCCAUGAAGAUUAUCAUCUAUGGGUACAUUCAUCAUCACCUUGUUUCUUUUUACAAGGUCAUCAUCAUCCUUAUACCAUUCACCAACCACUAGAGUUUCGAUUUCCUCCAUUUCCAUGAAUAUUGUAUCCCUUUCCUUUGUUUCAUUUAUGAAUUUAGCGUCUUCUCUUUCAUCCUCUUUGUGUUUCUUGUAAUGCUUCAUAAUGUGUCCAUAUUUGUGGCAGUAAUAACAUUUAGUUUCAGAUAAGGGUAAUACAUCUUCUUUAGCUUGGUUUUGAAGAUACUUGAAAAGCUUUUUCUAUAGAGUCGUCAUCAAAGAUCCUCAUACAAAAUUCAUGGUAUUGAAGUAUCCCUAAGAGAUUUUCUAAUAAUAAAGCAGAUAAAUCUUUGAUUCUUCCACUACUACAACCACAUAUUCGAAUUUACAUGUGAGGCUCCGUAGUAUCUUCUGAACAACCCACUUCUCUUCAAUAUCUUCCACAUUCAAUCUCAUUUGAUUCAUCAAGGUAAUCACCCGAUUGUAAAACUCUUAUAGGAUUUCUGAUUCUUUCAUUAUUAAACCAUCAAACUCACACUGCAAGGUCUGCAAACGGACUAAUUUGACCCUAUCUUGUCCCUUAUAUGUGUUAUGCAAUGCAUCCUAGGCUUCCUUCGAAGAUUUUGACCCUGAUAUCCUUUCAAAGAUAGGAUCAUCAAUUGACUGGUAAAUCAUAAAUAAUACCUUCUUGUCCUUCUUUUCUAAUUCCUUUAAAUCCUUUUCUUGUUGUGCAGUGGGAUUCUAUGGUUGAUAGAUGCCUUUAUCCACGAUGCUCCAUAGAUCCAAAGAUUCAUAUAGAACCUUCAUCUGGAUACUCCAGUGAUGAUAAUUUUUACCAUUCAAUCGUGGUAAUUGGGUUUGAUAAAGAUUGUUGUUGUAGCCAUCUUUAAGGAAUGAAAUAAGAUAUCUUUGAUUUAGAAUUGGCGACUCUGAUACUACUUUGUUUGGGAUAAAGAUAAGGAUUUGAAAUGGAAGAUAAGAUACACCAAAUUUAAAUCUUUUAUUUAUAUAUGAUAAUACUUUAACCAACUUCCUAAUCAAUACAUUGACUUUUAUAUACUAGACCAGAAACAAUUGAGUAUAUCCCAACCAUUACAAUGUUUCAUGAACCAAUACAAUGGUUCAUAUGUUACUGCCUUUUUAACAGAACUAACAUAAAAUACUAACAGUAAUGAGCAUAUUUAACAGACAUUAACAUACCAACUAGCAAUCUAGGUUACUUUUCAACACAUUUACCACCAAAGGCUCAAAUAUGUAGAUUCUAAGAUAAUGAUAGAAAAUAAAAGAUAAUUUCAAAACACCUAAGGAUAAAAUCAAAAGUAACAGAAAAACUAAUAACCAAUUAGAUAGGACUAAAGUUGGAAAUGUCAUGUUAUGCAUCAGGUCUCCUUAGGUAAGAAAAUAUUUGCCUUUGAAUCUAGACUUGUGCUUUCCCCUUUGUAAGGAACAAGAUCCUUAACAUAGAAGACAUUUGCAGUCUUGAGGUGUGAUGGAAGCUCCAUCUGGUAUUCAUUGGGGUUUAUGCGUUCCAAAACCAGAACAAAUCAAAUUUUAUGGGAACGUAGUUUGUUAUACUUGUAUAGGGGGAAACAAUCCUUCAUGGACCACCUGUACAAAGUUGCCUGGGAAAAAUAGAACAUCUCACCAAUUUGCUUUUGGUGGGCUAGAUUGAUAAUUCUGAAUGAAAGUUGAGACUCUUACCUUCGUUCAUGUGCAAAAAAUGAAGAAAUGUAACACUCGUUUUCUAGGAUAGACCGUUGCAGGGCCUGAGAUAUUGAAAUAAAGGUUUUUCACAAACAAAACCAUGUGUCACUACGUGGAGGUUGGAGCACCACGACAUGACAUGCCAAAUUCAUGAAUGCAUAUCUAGGAAGGCUGCCACGACGUGACGAGUGGAAAGCCACAAAGUGGCAGCAAUUGUAGCCCAAGCCCAUGAUCUUUUAGGGUUUUUUUCCAUAUUUAAGUCCCUAAACUCAAGGUUUAGCGCAUCCUCUUCAGCCUUUAACCCUUUCAAUGAAACCCUAGCCUCCACUUUUGAGUUCUUGAGCUUUUGGUGGUGUUUUUGAUGUUUUGAAGGAGGAGGAAGCAUCCUUGGUGCAUAGAUCCAGCUUGCAAGUCUCAUCAUCAUCUUCUAGCACUUACUUUGGUCCUUUGUGGGUGUUCAAGUUCCAAGCUUUACAUCUUAUGCUUCUAGAUCUAGGAUUUUUGUGCAUUCUCUCCAUGUUUGGGAGAGUUUGAGUGGUUUGGUUCCAUAAAGUUGGAAAGUUUAUGGAUCCUUGAGAUCCUUGGUUCCAAAAAGUUGGAAAGUUUAACCCAUCAAAGUGAGCGCUUCGUGUUAUCGAAGUCCUGAUACUGAAAAGCCCGACUGGCUCCUCCCCCUGCCGCCCUUACAGCUGUUGUAGCUGUUGCGGUAGCCAUCUCAGCAGUGGUUGCAUAACGCUCAUUAAAGUACUCAACCAUGGCGGUAUUAAUAGACCCAAACAUCUACGGAAACCAUUCCCGGAACAGAGUAACAACCUCAUCAUGCAGGAUUUCUCGAAUCCUGGCAUCCAGCUCAUCCUACCUCAUCUGACUAAUGACCUCGGGCACUGGUGGUCCCUCCUGACCGCCAUCUCCUGAUCUUUUCGGGAUCUAGUCACAAAUCGUCUAGUAACCACAAUGCUGAAAAUACACCAAGAAGAUAUCAGACAUUCCAUAUAAUAAUCCGAGAACCAACUCCCUACAAAGCCAUAAGGAUUGUGGGUGUUCAAGUUCCAAGCUUUAUGUUUUAUGCUUCUAGAUAUAGGAUUCUUGUGCAUUCUCUCCAAGUUUGGGACAGUUUGAGUGGUUGGAUUCCAUAAAUUUGGAAACUUUAUGGAUCCUUGAGGUCCUUUUAAGGCUUAGUGUUCAAGAUCUAUGAUUUGGUUAGGUUUUGGAUCAUGCAUGAGAUUUUUCACCUCACUUCCUCAAUUUUGAGGACUUAACUUCGGAAAAGACUUCAUGGUGAGGAUUGAUCGUUGAUUUGUUUUGACUAGUUUGAUUUUGGGUCAAACUUAAAGGAAUUAGGUGAUUAAUUAAGGUCCUCCUUUGUUUGGUGCUAGCAGGUUCGCAGAAGCGAUCGGUACAGGGAGUGAGGAUGUUAUUGUGUUUCCUUGGUUCUUUGAUUUAGGCGAGUUUCCUUAGUAUACUGUGACAUCCCCAAAAUCACGGCCAGAAAAGACCGGUUUGUUUAUGUUUUGUUUAAAAAUCAGAGUAACAUUUUAAAUAAAAGUGUUGCGAAAUUUGUCCCAAAACAAAAUAUGAUAAAGAUUUAUCAAAAGCAUUUCCAUAGAAAUGUAUUUCAUUAAAAGACUUGGGAUGUCAUGUUCGUACAGAUCAAAAGCAUAAACAGUACAAUAUAAGCCAACAGUACAUUAUUUCAUAUCUACAGGCCUAUAUCCGUAAUCCCUCGUCCAAACAUCAUAACUAUGCUCAAGCGUCACUACCUGUAAUACAUAAAACUGAGUGGGUCAGGCUUGGGAGCCUGGUGAGCACAUAGGGUUUUCAACCCACAAUAAAUAAGUUUAUUAACUUCAUUAAAUUAAACAAACCCGAUUACCCGUUCCCGUUAUCCUCACAUUACGUCCCUAAGCAUCUAUCAUAAGGGACCUAUCCUAAGGAUUAUCAUCGGGACGGACACUACUGCUAAGGGGAUUCCUCAGCAAUAAAUGUCCUUAAGGCAACCAUGUGGGGGAUGGAGUACAUCUGGUGAGCACACAGUUCAAAUAAACACACAGUUCGAAUAAACACCUACAGGUUGCGAGCCUGCUAGUGUUCCACUGGACUGUCUAGAAUAGUCCAUGGUCGUCAUCUAUACUCCGCUAGAUGACUGGAUCAUCAAUAACAUCUAUAACGAGGCCUCUCAUCGUUUUAUUUUGUCACACAGCAACUAUUACAUCUACCCAUGUUUUACCCAACACAUUUUGUAGAUAUAAAAUACAUAUACAGUUUAAAUCAUUGAAAACAUGUAUAAAACGUUCAUCCAGCAUAGAUAGCAAGUAUUCAGAUAAUAUGCACACAUAGCACGUAAUUUAUAUAAAAUACUUCAUAUCUAUGUGUAAGCUGAAAGUAACUAUGCACUCACUUGUUAAAGUGAUGAUUCCAAAAUCGGGCAGCGCUUGCUUCUAACGAUUCUAUUUUCCUUCGACGAAACCUAGCAUUAUUAUCGCUAAAUUUUAGUCUAAUAUUUACCGUGACCAACUAUUAGUCUUAGUAUUAUUAUUAUUAUUAUAUAAGCGUUAAACAAUAUUUUCCAACCACUAUGUACAGACAGGGGCCAGACAUAAAACACCGGAGGGCAGGACCAUUUUGGCAUAUAGCACUUCUGAAAUCCAACAACCCUAUGCGGCCCUUUAAACCAGAUUCCCCGUACCGCGAGUAGUUAAAAAAAUAUUAUAACGACACUUAUAUAAGUUAUAAUAAUAGCUCAAAUAUUUAUUAUAAGUUCAUAAUAACAAUACUAAUUUUAAAUAUAAGCUAUAUUAAAAUAAGGUAAGCAUAACUUACUUACAAGGGGGUUUUAGCUAGGAGUCGGGCUCUGCAGGGGCAGAACUUCGUCGCUGAAUCUUUCUAAGAAAGAUUCGUGCAGCGCUUCAGCGCUCACCUUACUAUACUAAGCUACAGAAAGAGAAGUCGAAUCACGAGGGACCGAAAUGCUCGGGGGAUAAGGAGAGAAAGACUCUUGAAUCAAGAGAAUGGUGCAAGAAAUAUGAGAGCCCAAGGCUCUUAUUUAUACUAAUUGAAUUUUCAAAAACUACCCUCCAUAAUUACUUAAUGACCUUUUAGUUAUAUAAACAACUAAACACCCCUCUAUAAUACUAUUAUAAAUGGAUUUAAUGAUAUUUGUACUAAACUAAUGUCGAAAGAACUCAACAUUAGUCUUAUAAUGACCGCAUCGUCGAUACCUUUCUAAUGAUAUAUACAUAUGUAUAUAUAUGUGUACGUAUACAUGAUUUAUACUUUAUUUUAAUACGUAAAUAUGCUAUUAUAAUUUGUAACUCGUUCAUACGAACUCCGUUUUUGACGUUUUUUAUAUCCACGCGUAGGCGGGAACGUACCCUACAACUUUCGUUUAGACUCCGUCGGCUAAUUUUGAAUUUAUUUUUAAAGUUAUAUUUUU
rnacentral:lncRNA from 1 species